rnacentral:rRNA from 1 species
CCCUUAGAUGUCCUGGGCCGCACGCGCGCUACACUGACAUGUUCAACAAGCCUCCUAGUUCGACAGGAUUUGGGAAAUCUUUGAACGCAUGUCGUGAUAGGGAUAGAUCAUUGCAAUUAUUGAUCUUGAACGAGGAAUUCCUAGUAAGCGCAAGUCAUCAACUUGCGUUGAUUACGUCCCUGCCCUUUGUACACACCGCCCGUCGCUACUACCGAUUGAAUGGUUUAGUGAGGCCUUCGGAUCCGCGACUCGUUUUGUGGAGAAGUUGGACAAACUCAGUCAUUUAGAGGAAGUAGAAGUCGUAACA